AACAGGAUUAGAUACCCUGGUAGUCCACGCCGUAAACGAUGAGUGCUAAGUGUUAGGGGGUUUCCGCCCCUUAGUGCUGCAGCUAACGCAUUAAGCACUCCGCCUGGGGAGUACGGCCGCAAGGCUGAAACUCAAAGGAAUUGACGGGGGCCCGCACAAGCGGUGGAGCAUGUGGUUUAAUUCGAAGCAACGCGAAGAACCUUACCAGGUCUUGACAUCCCGCUGCCCGGUGUAGAGAUACGCCUUUCCCUUCGGGGACAGCGGUGACAGGUGGUGCAUGGUUGUCGUCAGCUCGUGUCGUGAGAUGUUGGGUUAAGUCCCGCAACGAGCGCAACCCUUGAUCUUAGUUGCCAGCAUUCAGUUGGGCACUCUAAGGUGACUGCCGGUGACAAACCGGAGGAAGGUGGGGAUGACGUCAAAUCAUCAUGCCCCUUAUGACCUGGGCUACACACGUGCUACAAUGGACGGUACAAAGGGCUGCCAACCCGCGAGGGGGAGCCAAUCCCAGAAAACCGUUCUCAGUUCGGAUUGCAGGCUGCAACUCGCCUGCAUGAAGCCGGAAUCGCUAGUAAUCGUGGAUCAGCAUGCCACGGUGAAUACGUUCCCGGGCCUUGUACACACCGCCCGUCACACCACGAGAGUUUGUAACACCCGAAGUCGGUGAGGUAACCAUUCGUGGAGCCAGCCGCCGAAGGUGGGACAGAUGAUUGGGGUGAAGUCGUAACAAGGUAACC
rnacentral:rRNA from 1 species